rnacentral:rRNA from 1 species
CCCUUAGAUGUUCUGGGCCGCACGCGCGCUACACUGACGAAUGCAACGAGCUUAUAACCUUGGCCUAAAGGUCUGGGUAAUCUCCAAAUUUCGUCGUGAUGGGGAUAGAUUAUUGCAAUUAUUAAUCUUCAACGAGGAAUGCCUAGUAAGCGCAAGUCAUCAGCUUGCGUUGAUUACGUCCCUGCCCUUUGUACACACCGCCCGUCGCUCCUACCGAUUGAAUGGUCCGGUGAAGCGUUCGGACCGUGGCCUUUGGACGGUUCGCCGUCUGUUGGCUGCGGGAAGUUCGUUAAACCUUAUCAUUUAGAGGAAGGAGAAGUCGUAACA